UUUCUCAUCUUCCUACUCUCUCUAUCUUUUCAAAUCCAAACUACGAUGGUGUGCUCCGAUGGUGUGCUUGCUUUGGCGAUGAUUCAAACCAUGACUACAGAUCUGAAGAGGAUUGAGAUCAGGAAAGGAAUGACAAAGAUUGAAGCUGCUACGCCUGGGACAUGACCGUUUGACGGCUUUGUCAUCCACAACACUGUUGCUGGAAUCCUCCAUUUUAGGUGCCUCUUCUUCUCUUCUUUGUCCCUCAUAAUUGAUAAAAGGUUGUUCUAUUACCUAUUAGUGUU
rnacentral:lncRNA from 1 species